rnacentral:rRNA from 1 species
AGUGAACGCUGGCGGUAGGCCUAACACAUGCAAGUCGAACGGCAGCACAGUAAGAGCUUGCUCUUACGGGUGGCGAGUGGCGGACGGGUGAGGAAUACAUCGGAAUCUACUUUUUCGUGGGGGAUAACGUAGGGAAACUUACGCUAAUACCGCAUACGACCUACGGGUGAAAGCAGGGGAUCUUCGGACCUUGCGCGAUUGAAUGAGCCGAUGUCGGAUUAGCUAGUUGGCGGGGUAAAGGCCCACCAAGGCGACGAUCCGUAGCUGGUCUGAGAGGAUGAUCAGCCACACUGGAACUGAGACACGGUCCCGACUCCUACGGGAGGCAGCAGUGGGGAAUAUUGGACAAUGGGCGCAAGCCUGAUCCAGCCAUACCGCGUGGGUGAAGAAGGCCUUCGGGUUGUAAAGCCCUUUUGUUGGGAGAGAAAAGCAGCAGGUUAAUACCCCGCUGUUCUGACGGUACCCAAAGAAUAAGCACCGGCUAACUUCGUG